GAGAAGUCAACCCUGCUCCCCAGGGAUGUGUUUUGUGCUGGUUUUUGAUUUAUCAUCUCAUAUUCCACUGAAACCUUUGUCUAAGGCAACUUGCUCUGCAAAAUACGUGAUAAGUUGAUCCAUUAACAGAACAGACCAUUGCAUCACGCCCACUGGACUGUAGGAUGGAACCAGAACACCCAGAGGAUACUUGUUCCAGUUCUACACCAAUGUGCCAUAUUUGAACCUGCAGUCAUGUCACUGUUACCUUCUGGUAGCAUUUAGAAUGUUCCCUAAGAUGAUUAGUAGUGUGAUGGUUUGUGCUUUUGCAUUUGGACCUAAAAGUCUGAGGUUCAAAUCCCACUGUCUCCUUGAGCAAAGUACUUCCUUUAAAAUUGCUCCAGUAAAACUACCUACCUCUAUAAAUGGAUAAAUAAUUAUAACUUGCUUUGGAGAAAAGCAUCAGCUCAAUGAACAAAUGUAAAUGAGUGAGCUACUCUGUGAGUUGUGCAGAAGAUGCAUGGCUUCCCCAUCCAUUAAGCUGCCUGUCAUACAUGGUACAUGCAAGUUGGUGGUUGUAGACAGUGGCUUCUGGUUAUUCUGCAUGACUUCAUGUGACCUGUAGUGUGUUUGGAGGAAAAAAAUUAUCGAAUUAUUAUUUUGAGUAAUAAAGUAGAAUUAUGCCUGGGGAAAAAAGUCAGCACACAUUGUGUUUAAAUUCCCUUUUUGUUAAUGUAUUUGUUAAGGUUUUCACCAUUUUAAGAGUAAUGGCUGUGGUAACACAUGAUUUAGACAGACUAUACUAUUAAUCAGUACCAGACCACCCGACUUUUUGUUUACUUUAACUGUAUUUCAAUUGUUUUAAAAUAUAAAAAAAAAAAUCUUCCUAUCGCCAAGGGUUUUUACGACAGUUCAUGCACCGACGACCCAAUCGCGAGUUUUUACGACAGUUUUACGGCAGUCACUGCGCUUGUGACCGAAAUACAGUACAGAUUACGUUUAGGGCAGAAACGUUUGCUGGGGUUCCAGCGCUCGUGGUAUUAUGUGAGGAACAGCCAAUCUUGGAGACGCUUUGGACGACAGUCAACUAGUUUCCCUCUGCCUCACUGCAUAAAAACUGACAAGAAGUGCAACG
rnacentral:lncRNA from 1 species